UGGGGAAUAUUGCACAAUGGGCGCAAGCCUGAUGCAGCCAUGCCGCGUGUAUGAAGAAGGCCUUCGGGUUGUAAAGUACUUUCAGCGAGGAGGAAGGCGGUAAGGUUAAUAACCUUAUCGAUUGACGUUACUCGCAGAAGAAGCACCGGCUAACUCCGUGCCAGCAGCCGCGGUAAUACGGAGGGUGCAAGCGUUAAUCGGAAUUACUGGGCGUAAAGCGCACGCAGGCGGUUUGUCAAGUCGGAUGUGAAAUCCCCGGGCUCAACCUGGGAACUGCAUCCGAAACUGGCAGGCUAGAGUCUUGUAGAGGGGGGUAGAAUUCCAGGUGUAGCGGUGAAAUGCGUAGAGAUCUGGAGGAAUACCGGUGGCGAAGGCGGCCCCCUGGACAAAGACUGACGCUCAGGUGCGAAAGCGUGGGGAGCAAACA
rnacentral:rRNA from 1 species